rnacentral:rRNA from 1 species
UACAGAGGGUGCAAGCGUUAAUCGGAAUUACUGGGCGUAAAGCGUGCGUAGACGGUUACAUAAGUCGGGUGUGAAAGCCCCGGGCUCAACCUGGGAAUUGCAUUCGAGACUGCGUAGCUAGGGUGCGGAAGAGGGAAGCGGAAUUUCCGGUGUAGCGGUGAAAUGCGUAGAUAUCUGGAGGAACACCGGUGGCGAAGGCGGCAUCCUGGACCGGCAUUGACGCUGAGGCGCGAAAGCUAGGGGAGCAAACGGG